GUGGGGAAUUUUGGACAAUGGGCGCAAGCCUGAUCCAGCAAUGCCGCGUGUGUGAAGAAGGCCUUCGGGUUGUAAAGCACUUUUGUCCGGAAAGAAAUGGCCUGGGUUAAUACCCCGGGUCGAUGACGGUACCGGAAGAAUAAGCACCGGCUAACUACGUGCCAGCAGCCGCGGUAAUACGUAGGGUGCGAGCGUUAAUCGGAAUUACUGGGCGUAAAGCGUGCGCAGGCGGCGAUGCAAGACAGAUGUGAAAUCCCCGGGCUCAACCUGGGAACUGCAUUUGUGACUGCAUGGCUAGAGUGCGUCAGAGGGGGGUGGAAUUCCGCGUGUAGCAGUGAAAUGCGUAGAGAUGCGGAGGAACACCGAUGGCGAAGGCAGCCCCCUGGGAUGACACUGACGCUCAUGCACGAAAGCGUGGGGAGCAAACAGGAUUAGAAACCCUGGUAGUCC
rnacentral:rRNA from 1 species